ensembl:lncRNA
GGGGCACUGGCUCGGGGACGAGGGCACUGGAGCCCGGCAUCCUCUCCUCCUCCGACUCCUUCCUCCUCGCCCCUCCCCACCUUGGGUCCUGCGCUUUCUUGCGGGGGUCUGCCCUCCAGUCCCUGGCUCCUGGGGACUAGGGACCCUCCUACUCCCCGCAACCAGUUAAGAACUGAACACCCUGGAGCCCCUACCGGCGCUCGGGCUAACUCGGCCGCGCUUUUUCGUUCCUUUAUGGAAAGCACUGCAGAGGCCACCCCGGCUUGCCUGCGGUGAUGAUGCGCGCGGAGAUGACUCCACGGUCCGGUCCAGCCCCAGUGUGGAGCGCAUGGGGACGUCACCUGUCCCAGCCUCCUGUUCCUCAAAGAUUGAGUUGGGGGAGGGGGGAGGACGGUAAAGAUACCUCUGAGGAUGGAGUAAGAUGACACAGGUGCAGGGCCUCGCACCCUUUCAUUUCUGCCCUUCUCCCUCGCGUGCAUGGACAGACCUAAGACAGGACAGAAGGAGGGAAAGGAGCGACGCUCUCGGACCGACUACCCCCUCCAGCCUUUCAGCAGGGAGCGGGCAGCAGGAAGUGGUGCCCUGGGUUUCCUGUCCCGCGGCUCCUGCCCCAAAGGCGAUCUGGUACCUCAUUAGAAACCCUCCUCAGAAAGGUUCAUCAGUCACUAUUAAAAGACUUCUUUAUGUAGUGACUGGAGUGGUGGCUGGUGAGGGGGUGGAAGAUGAGGCUCUGCUUGGGAGCUCCUGGAAAAUAAGAACAUCCUGCAAUGAACAAAGUAAACUUCGGGAGAGAACUGCAGUUCUUGAUACUUUCUGCAGGCUGUCCUGACUGAUGUUUCUCUUGGCAACGGGACUAGCCUGGCAUCUGGACAUGAAGGAGGUCCUCCCCUUACUGCAGCCUGGGGACCACCCUCAUUGCAGUAGGCUGCCAACACCAGCUCCCUUUUCAAAGCCACACUUAAGUACCCUUCUUCCGGGACUCUCCAGAUCUCUUCUCCCUCCUGAGAACCAGUAUAAUUUCCCACCAUUCCUGCCCAUCCCAAGCUAUUAGAUAGGAGAGAGAUAUUGUGUGGGUGCAGGUCAUUAUGAAUAUGCAGAAGGAUAAUGUUUAUAUUCAGAUGAGAAAUGAGACAGUAUUUGAAACACAGGCAAGCCAGAUUUCAGUUUUGAAUGCUUAAUCAGUAACUUGAGAGAGCCAUAGUGCUAUCAAUUAUUGCUGAUACCUUUCCACGGGCAGCAUCUCAUAUAAUUGCUAUUGUCUUCUUGCAAAGCUCCAAGGUUUUGCAUCCUGUUUCAUGGCUUCCCCACAGAAAAGGGUAGGAGAAGUAAG